rfam:Talaromyces stipitatus strain ATCC 10500 mitochondrion, partial genome.
GAGACCUUAGUUUAACGGUAAAACAUGUGACUUUUAAUCAUUAUCUUGUGGGUUCAAAUCCCAUAGGUCUUA